ACGGAAGGCAGCAGUGGGGAAUAUUGCACAAUGGGGGAAACCCUGAUGCAGCGACGCCGCGUGAGUGAAGAAGUUAUUCGUAAUGUAAAGCUCUAUCAGCAGGGAAGAAAAUGACGGUACCUGACUAAGAAGCCCCGGCUAACUACGUGCCAGCAGCCGCGGUAAUAUGUAGGGGGCAAGCGUUAUCCGGAUUUACUGGGUGUAAAGGGAGCGUAGACGGUCUGGCAAGUCUGAUGUGAAAGGCAGGGGCUCAACUCCUGGACUGCAUUGGAAACUGUCAGUCUUGAGUGUCGGAGAGGUAAGCGGAAUUCCUAGUGUAGCGGUGAAAUGCGUAGAUAUUAGGAGGAACACCAGUGGCGAAGGCGGCUUACUGGACGAUAACUGACGUUGAGGCUCGAAAGCGUGGGGAGCAAACAGGAUUAGAUACCCUGGUA
rnacentral:rRNA from 1 species